UGAGUACGAGACGCUAAGGCGUUGAAGCAGUCUAUGUCAGACUUCCAAGAAAAGCUCGCAAUGUCAUAGACAAAAAAUGCCUGUACCAUAACCGACACAGGUGGGUAGGUAGAGUAUACUAAGGGGCGCGAGAUAACUCUCUCUAAGGAACUCGGCAAAAUGACUCCGUAACUUCGGGAGAAGGAGUGCCUUAUUUUUAUAAGGUUGCAAUAACAAGAUCCAAGCAACUGUUUACCAAAAACACAGGUCUCCGCUAAGUCGUAAGACGAUGUAUGGGGGCUGACGCCUGCCCAGUGCCAGAAGGUUAAAGAAGUUGGUUAGUUUCGGCGAAGCUGAUGACUGAAGCCCUGGUGAACGGCGGCCGUAACGAUAACGGUCCUAAGGUAGCGAAAUUCCUUGUCGGGUAAGUUCCGACCCGCACGAAAGGCGUAAUGAUUUGGAUACUGUCUCGGAGAGGGGCUCGGUGAAAUAGACUUGUCUGUGAAGAUGCGGACUACCUGCACCUGGACAGAAAGACCCUAUGAAGCUUUACUGUAACUUGAGAUUGAAAUUGGACUUUAUUUGCGCAGUAUAGGUGGGAGACGUUGAGAAUAUUCUUGCGGGAAUAUUGGAGUCAUCAGUGAGAUACCACUCUUGUAAUGUUAGAUUUCUAACUUUGUAUCAUUAUCUGGUCAAAGGACAGUUUCAGGCGGGCAGUUUGACUGGGGCGGUCGCCUCCCAAACGGUAACGGAGGCGCACAAAGGUUUCCUCUGAACGUGUAGAAAUCGUAUCUAGAGUGUAAAGGCAUAAGGAAGCUUGACUGUGAGACCUACAAGUCGAGCAGGGACGAAAGUCGGUCUUAGUGAUCUGACGGUGCUGAGUGGAAAGGCCGUCACUCAACGGAUAAAAGUUACUCUAGGAUAACAGGCUGAUCUCCCCCAAGAGUUCACAUCGACGGGGAGGUUUGGCACCUCGAUGUCGGCUCAUCGCAUCCUGGGGCGGUAGUACGUCCCAAGGGUUGGGCUGUUCGCCCAUGAAAGCGGUACGCGAGCUGGGUUCAGAACGUCGUGAGACAGUUCGGUCCAUAUCCGGUGUAGGCGUUAGAAUAUUGAGAGGAGCCUUCUUUAGUACGAGAGGACCGAGAAGGACAUACCUCUGGUGUACCAGUUAUCGUGCCAACGGUAAACGCUGGGUAGCUAUGUAUGGAGUGGAUAACCGCUGAAAGCAUCUAAGUGGGAAGCCCACCUCAAGAUAAGUAUUCU
rnacentral:rRNA from 1 species